AUUGAACGCUGGCGGCAGGCCUAACACAUGCAAGUCGAACGGUAACAGGAAGAAGCUUGCUUCUUUGCUGACGAGUGGCGGACGGGUGAGUAAUGUCUGGGAAACUGCCUGAUGGAGGGGGAUAACUACUGGAAACGGUAGCUAAUACCGCAUAACGUCGCAAGACCAAAAAGGGGGACCUUCGGGCCUCUUGCCAUCGGAUGUGCCCAGAUGGGAUUAGCUAGUAGGUGGGGUAACGGCUCACCUAGGCGACGAUCCCUAGCUGGUCUGAGAGGAUGACCAGCCACACUGGAACUGAGACACGGUCCAGACUCCUACGGGAGGCGGCAGUGGGGAAUAUUGCACAAUGGGCGCAAGCCUGAUGCAGCCAUGCCGCGUGUAUGAAGAAGGCCUUCGGGUUGCAAAGUACUUUCAGCGGGGAGGAAGGGAGUAAAGUUAAUACCUUUGCUCAUUGACGUUACCCGCAGAAGAAGCACCGGCUAACUCCGUG
rnacentral:rRNA from 1 species